rnacentral:lncRNA from 1 species
CUUGUCUUAACCCUCUCUUUAACGGGAAUUCAUCAGUUGGACUUCCAUUAACUAAAACAGACGCUGUGGCAGUGCUGACACAUUCUUUGCUCCAUUUUCUCCAAAGAACAGGAAAAGACAUGCAACCCAUAACAGAAUCUAAGUAACCCCAGUCCACCGAAUCAUAAGCCUUUUCAAAGUCCACUUUAAACAACAUAAGCUCUUUUUUAGAUUUACAAGCUUCAUCGACAACUUCGUUAG